GAUGAACGCUGGCGGCGUGCCUAAUACAUGCAAGUCGAACGCAUUGAGAAAAGUGCUUGCACUUUUCAAUUUGAGUGGCGAACGGGUGAGUAAUACGUGGGCAACCUACCUGAUAGCGGGGGAUAACGAGUGGAAACAUUCGCUAAUACCGCAAAACAAUAGAGAAGGCAUCUUCUUUAUUUAAAAGGCGCUUUCAAGCGUCACUAUCAGAUGGGCCCGCGGUGCAUUAGUUAGUUGGUGGGGUGAAGGCCUACCAAGAGGAUGAUGCAUAGCCGAGUUGAGAGACUGAUCGGCCACAUUGGGACUGAGACACGGCCCAAACUCCUACGGGAGGCUGCAGUAGGGAAUCUUCCACAAUGGACGAAAGUCUGAUGGGGCAACGCCGCGUGUGUGAUGAAGGCUUUCGGGUCGUAAAGCACUGUUGUAUGGGAAGAAAUGCUAGGCUAGGAAAUGAGCUUAGUUUGACGGUACCAUACCAGAAAGGGACGGCUAAAUACGUGCCAGCAGCCGCCGUAA
rnacentral:rRNA from 1 species